CACAAAGGCUUGGUCCCAACCUUGUAGUCAAUUAUUACCCAACUUACACAUGCAAGUCUCCGCACUCCCGUGAAAACGCCCUUAACCCCUGCAGGGGAAAGGAGCUGGUAUCAGGCACAAUAUUUGCCCAACACACCUAGCUAUGCCACACCCACAAGGACCUCAGCAGUGAUUAACAUUAAACAUUAACGCCAGUUAGAUUUAGUUAAAGUAAUUUAAAGCCGGCCAAUCUGGUGCCAGCCGCCGCGGCUACACCAUGUGACUUAAAUUGACCUCUAUCGGCGUAAAGCGUGAUCAAAGUUUCCACAAACUAGAGUUAAACCAAGACUAAACUGUAAUAAGUUUGUUUUAAGGAAACCCAUACAACGAAAGUCACUCUAGUAACUAUACUUAUUCACGACAGCUGAGGCACAAACUGAGAUUAGAGACCCCACUAUGCCCAGCCAUAAACUUUAACUUACCCCCACAAUCGCCAGGGAACUACGAGCCAAGCUUAAAACCCAAAGGACUUGACGGUGCCCCAUAUCCAACUAGAGGAGCCUGUCCUACAAUUGAUAAUCCCCACUUAACCUCACCCCCUCUAGCUUUCAGCCUGUAUACUUCCGUCGCCAACUCACCACGUGAGCGAGUUUCAGUGAGUUCUAUGCCCAAUUCGCCCCUACGUCAGGUCAAAGUGCAGCAAAUGAAGGGGAAAGAGAUGGGCUACACUCUCUAAUAUAGAGAACACGAAAGACUAUUAUGAAAUCUAGUCUGAAGGUGGAUUUAGAAGUAAAAAGAAAAUAGAGUGUUCUUUUUAACCCAGCACUGGGGUGUGUACACACCGCCCGUCACCCUCUUCAAAGCCCCCAUAAAGUAUUUUACCACCAAUGGCACUAGAGAAGAGGCAAGUCGUAACAUGGUAAGUAUACCGGAAGGUGUGCUUGGAAA
rnacentral:ncRNA from 1 species